rnacentral:rRNA from 1 species
UACAGAGGGUGCAAGCGUUGUUCGGAAUUAUUGGGCGUAAAGCGCGUGUAGGCGGCUUGGCAAGUCGGGUGUGAAAUCCCUCAGCUUAACUGAGGAAGUGCGCCCGAAACUGCCGAGCUUGAGUACCGGAGAGGGUGGCGGAAUUCCCCAAGUAGAGGUGAAAUUCGUAGAUAUGGGGAGGAACACCGGUGGCGAAGGCAGCCAUCUGGACCGACACUGACGCUGAGGCGCGAAAGCGUGGGGAUCAAACAGG